rnacentral:rRNA from 1 species
AUUGAACGCUGGCGGCAGGCCUAACACAUGCAAGUCGAGCGGAUGAAGGGAGCUUGCUCCUGGAUUCAGCGGCGGACGGGUGAGUAAUGCCUAGGGAUCUGCCUGGUAGUGGGGGAUAACGUCCGGAAACGGGCGCUAAUACCGCUUACGUCCUGAGGGAGAAAGUGGGGGAUCUUCGGACCUCACGCUAUCAGAUGAGCCUAGGUCGGAUUAGCUAGUUGGUGGGGUAAAGGCCUACCAAGGCGACGAUCCGUAACUGGUCUGAGAGGAUGAUCAGUCACACUGGAACUGAGACACGGUCCAGACUCCUACGGGAGGCAGCAGUGGGGAAUAUUGGACAAUGGGCGAAAGCCUGAUCCAGCCAUGCCGCGUGUGUGAAGAAGGUCUUCGGAUUGUAAAGCACUUUAAGUUGGGAGGAAGGGCAGUAAGUUAAUACCUUGCUGUUUUGACGUUACCAACAGAAUAAGCACCGGCUAACUUCGUG